GUCAUCCCUUCUUCACUUGCGGAGAAAAAUCGAAACUCUAGGAAACCCUGGCCCUAUUGAUGUACAUUCCAGCAGACACAUCUGAGAGUCUUUGCAGAGUCCACACUGGGACAGAGCGACACCGGCCAGUAGAAGGCAAUGGAGCAACGCUCAGUACUCUGAGGGACGGUGACUCGAGUCCUGGAAGACCACUCAUCAAAGGCCUGUGUCUGGUGCGUGUCCACAUUGCAGGCACCUCCCCAGUGUUUGGCUCACAGUAGAUGCUCGUAAGUCUGUACUGAAUAAAUGA